GUCUCUCAGUCAGUAUGUGCUCAGCUUGCUACAUGGUCGGUACAGAGGGUUGCCAAGCCGCGAGGUGGAGCUAAUCUCACAAAACCGAUCGUAGUCCGGAUCGCAGUCUGCAACUCGACUGCGUGAAGUCGGAAUCGCUAGUAAUCGCGAAUCAGAAUGUCGCGGUGAAUACGUUCCCGGGCCUUGUACACACCGCCCGUCACACCAUGGGAGUGGGUUGCACCAGAAGUAGCUAGUCUAACCUUCGGGAGGACGGUUACCACGGUGUGAUUCAUGACUGGGGUGAAGUCGUAACAAGGUAGCCGUAGGGGAACCUGCGGUUGGAUCACCUCCUUAA
rnacentral:rRNA from 1 species